rnacentral:rRNA from 1 species
UACAGAGGGGGCAAGCGUUGUUCGGAAUUACUGGGCGUAAAGGGCGCGUAGGCGGCCUUCUAAGUCGAACGUGAAAUCCCUGGGCUCAACCCAGGAACUGCGUCCGAUACUGGGAGGCUUGAAUCCGGGAGAGGGAUGCGGAAUUCCAGGUGUAGCGGUGAAAUGCGUAGAUAUCUGGAGGAACACCGGUGGCGAAGGCGGCAUCCUGGACCGGUAUUGACGCUGAUGCGCGAAAGCCAGGGGAGCAAACGGG